GUGGAACCUUUGAGUUUGAGGGUUCCUUCCAGCCCUAACUCUAUUCUACAUGCCAACUGUGUACCCAACAUUUGGGGCGUAAGGAAGCAGAGGGCACCCUCCCUGUUCCCAGGAGUCUUCUAUGCAAAGAUGCCAGAAACCUCAGGAAAUACAGGGAACCAGCAGGGAUGCUUUUGGCCCUGGUAAGCAGCAGUAACUAAAGAGGACCUCAGGCUCAGGCGCCGUGGACUCAGAACCUUCGACCCGGAGCACAUCUUAGAGACGACCUGCCCUGCUCAUGUGCAUGCCCCACUGUCCCACUG
rnacentral:lncRNA from 1 species